rnacentral:rRNA from 1 species
AUUGAACGCUGGCGGCAUGCCUUACACAUGCAAGUCGAACGGUAACAGGUCUUCGGAUGCUGACGAGUGGCGAACGGGUGAGUAAUACAUCGGAACGUGCCUAGUAGUGGGGGAUAACUACUCGAAAGAGUGGCUAAUACCGCAUGAGAUCUACGGAUGAAAGCAGGGGAUCGCAAGACCAUGUGCUGCUAAAGCGGACGACGACAGAUUAGGUUGUUGGUGAGAUAAAAACUUACCAAGCCGACGAUCUGUAGCUGGUCUGAGAGGACGAUCAGCCACACUGGGACUGAGACACGGCCCAGACUCCUACGGGAGGCAGCAGUGGGGAAUUUUGGACAAUGGGCGCAAGCCUGAUCCAGCAAUGCCGCGUGCAGGAUGAACGCCUUCGGGUUGUAAACUGCUUUUGUACGGAACGAAAAGCCCUGGGUUAAUACCCUGGGGUCAUGACGGUACCGUAAGAAUAAGCACCGGCUAACUACGUGCCAGCCGCCGCGGUAA